UACGGGGGAUGCAAGCGUUAUCCGGAAUGAUUGGGCGUAAAGGGUCCGCAGGUGGCAGUGUAAGUCUGCUGUCAAAGAAUGAGGCUUAACCUUAUCAAGGCAGUGGAAACUACACAGCUAGAGUACGGUCGGGGUAGAAGGAAUUCCUGGUGUAGCGGUGAAAUGCGUAGAGAUCAGGAAGAACACCGGUGGCGAAAGCGUUCUGCUAGACCUGUACUGACACUGAGGGACGAAAGCUAGGGGAGCGAAUGGG
rnacentral:rRNA from 1 species